CAGUCGCCGCGGUAAUACGGAGGGUGCAAGCGUUAAUCGGAAUUACUGGGCGUAAAGCGCACGCAGGCGGUCUGACAAGUCAGAUGAGAAAUCCCCGGGCUUAACCUGGGAACUGCAUUUGAAACUGUCAGGCUGGAGUCUUGUAGAGGGGGGUGGAAUUCCAGGUGUAGCGGUGAAAUGCGUAGAGAUCUGGAGGAAUACCGGUGGCGAAGGCGGCCCCCUGGACAAAGACUGACGCUCAGGUGCGAAAGCGUGGGGAGCAAACAGGAUUAGAUACCCCUGUAGUCCCUGUCUCUUAUAC
rnacentral:rRNA from 1 species